AGACAUCGUACAGGAAUGAAUACUCCCGCAUUAAUUCUAUGAAUACUUCACUUUUGGUAUAUUGUAAUAAAAUUAAAAUAUAACAUUAGAGAAAAAGAUGUUCAGUUGUACGUGGUCAAAGCCGUACUGGUUGCUUGAAACGAACGGAAAUAAUGUUACACAAAGCAUUCUGGUCGUUUAGUUCUUGUGUCGAUCUAUGCCAUAGUGAGUUACAAUCCGUUUAAAUCAAUGCAAAGUAAUGCCGCUUUCCCACGAGGGCGUGAACCAAGAAGGUGAAUUACAUUUUUGUGGACUACGACUUGUGUGAGCAUGCUAUCGUGAAGAUUGCCUGUGACGUUAAUACCUCCACGACUCAGUUGUGACUGAGGAUCAAACCGGUUUGAAUUUCAAUCGUGGCAGUAGCACGCGUGGAACAAAAUAUCUACGCAGCGUUUUCGGUUUUGUCAGACGGGUUUUGUCGGGUUUGAUCAGAUGGAAUCAGUAUUUUAUAAUCCGACAUUUAAUGAAUACAGGGAUCGUGAUAUACGAGCAUCAGCAAGAAUUUAACGAAUUUCGGAGACUUUAAGUACAAAUGGUUUCGGAGACUUUAAGUACAAAAGAAGUAAUUUAAAAAUUUGUAAACUUGAGAAGUUCGUAUUGCCAAGAAUUAAAGAAGAUCAAGGGUAGUCAAAGGCCAGGAAAAUCUAAAAAUGAUGCCCAUAAACCAAAUAAUAGUGUAGUUUACGAAGAUGAAUUCCUUUAUUCAUCCUUUGAAGAGAAACUAUUAUUAUUACACCUUAAUAUUUGAUAUUAAUACGGAUAAUCUCUUAUACUGAUCGAAUUAGGCGUUCGCUCCAACGUCGGUAUAUCGGAAGCAAUAAUUACUACCAACCAAAGCAAGCAAUACGAUAUUGUAACUGUUCUUAAUAUUGCAGUAGCCUGAGCCACUUAAAGGAGAUUUUAUGACGAUGUAUUUUCCAUCGAAAGUUUCUAUGCAUUCUAGAAAAUUCUAAUGCGUUUUGAAUCCAUAUUCAAUAUUUUUCUUAUAUUCUUGUAUCAUCGAUACUUGAAAAAAUUAUUUGUGCUCUCAUACGUUGCAAAGAAAUAAUACUAAAAUUGAAGUUAAUCAAGAAAAGGACAAAUGACAGUAGGAAAUAUUAUUAAUGAUAAGACUUUUUCUCACAAAAAAGAAAAAAAGCAGAAGGUGAGCAAAAAUUUAGUCUUUCUUUAUCAUGCUUUAAAUAAAUUCCAACACGAGCGGUACAAAUUGCAGAGAAGAAGAAUAGCUAGAAUCAUUUCAGCAAAUAUUAGGAUCGUUAUUGCGAAUCAUCGAAUUUCCAAAUGCAACAAUGAAUUAUAAUUUUGUUUGUAAACAGAAUGUGUACAUCAACUAUUCAAUAUCAAUAUAAUAACUCAUCUGUACCAAGUUUAUAUGUUAUGCAGUGAAGCUUCUGAAUAUAUUUAUUCACCUUCGAAUGAAUUAAUCUUAAUUUAUUCAAAGGUAAUUAAUACAUAUUAAUUAAUCUUUAAUUAUAUCUAUAACUAAUCUAUAAAUUCUACAGGAAAUAAUUGUAU